GGGGGUACGGGUGCAGGAAGGGGAGGAGGGGCUGGGGGGAGGCCCAAGGGGCAAGAAGCAUGGCCACCGAGGCUCCAGCUUAACGGUAUUUGGAGGUCAGCACGGUGCUCACAGAAGCCAGGAACUUGUCCAGGGAGGCGUGCACCGCAGGGGUGAACUCGGCGGGGAGGUGGGCGGC
ensembl:lncRNA novel transcript